rnacentral:rRNA from 1 species
CUCGUAGGCGGUUCGUCGCGUCCGGUGUGAAAGUCCAUCGCUUAACGGUGGAUCCGCGCCGGGUACGGGCGGGCUUGAGUGCGGUAGGGGAGACUGGGAUUCCCGGUAUAACGGUGGAAUGUGUAGAUAUCGGGAAGAACACCAAUGGCGAAGGCAGGUCUCUGGGCCGUUACUGACGCUGAGGAGCGAAAGCGUGGGGAGCGAACA